AUUUGAUCGAUGAAUCUGGUGUUUGGUUUGGCAGUGGCAAAAUCAUAAUGAUAAUACAUUUUCUUUACAUUACCGGGGUAAUUGGUGAAACAAACAGGCCCCAAGUACCAGUAUUUGUGUGAAUUUUGACGAAAUAUAGAAAGCAUUGUCUUGUCAGGUUAGAAAUUCCACAUGUAUGGGGGUAUAUAUGUUGAGGGAAUCUAAUUGCAGAGGGGGACUCAGAGAAUGUUGUUGGUUAGACUUUGAGAACCAGUUCUAUUCUUUGGAUGGUAGUGCUCUCAUUUUCAACAUGAUUCACAGCCUUAUAUCUCAAUUGAAUUCUUCAUUUAGCAUUGUGAGAAGAGAAUUGAGAGAUGCAAAUAGUCAGACCGACUUCUAUGAAGUGGGUGUGUCAAACUCUUGUCUAAAGGUCUAAUAAAAAGCCCAUUAUUCAUAAACAAAAGAAGGAAACAAAAGAUAUGUAUGGUAUAAGAAUGAUGGUUACCAGCCUUACCACUGAUUCUAGGUCUGGAAAGAAAUUCCUCUGCGAGAACUCCUGGAAAAGCAUAAGUUUGUAUGUCAUCCUUCUCAGACGAACUUCUGUUGUCGUCUCUGAUUGAGGAUAUGAAAUUCAUUAUGCACAUUGUCAAUUCUAUGGACGUAGGCUGUAUUAUUGUCAUCCUCUCUGAUCUUUUUGUCAUGUGAUCGUUGCCUCCAGUGAAUUUCCUCCUGUCGCAAAAUCUCGCCUUAGGAGCAGCAGCAACAACGUUCCUCCUAGCCAUCACAUCACAAGACAGAGCCAUUCGAUUCUUCAAUAUUGUCGAGAUCAGUCAACUCCUGCAUAAGAGCCUCAAGUCACCAAAUCCCGAAUUUUUCCAGUCUUUUGGCUUCAACUCCAGCAACUUCAUCUUGAUGUGUGAAUGCAGAGCUUUCUAAUGGAAUCUCAGGAAGCCUACUUCCCUAGAUGCUGAUAAAAAUAAUAAUCUAUCAAUGUAACUCAUAGCAAGCACUUGAUCUUGUUUUCCCUGGUCAUGAUUUUCUACUACAAAUUUUACAUGGCUA